rnacentral:tRNA from 1 species
GGCCGAUUAGCUCAGUUGGUCAGAGCGUUCCGUUCACAUCGGAGAGGUCGAAGGUUCGAGUCCUUCAUCGGCCA